GACGAUCGCUGGCGGCGUGCCUAAUACAUGCAAGUCGAACGAACCGCGACUAAGUGCUUGCACUAAGUCAAGGUGAGUGGCGAACGGGUGAGUAACACGUGGGUAACCUACCUCAUAGUGGGGGAUAACAGUCGGAAACGACUGCUAAUACCGCAUAGGACAUAGGAUCACAUGAUCCAGUGAGGAAAGGUGGCGCAAGCUAUCGCUAAGAGAUGGACCCGCGGUGCAUUAGCUAGUUGGUAGGGUAAAGGCCUACCAAGGCGAUGAUGCAUAGCCGACCUGAGAGGGUGAUCGGCCACAUUGGGACUGAGACACGGCCCAAACUCCUACGGGAGGCAGCAGUAGGGAAUCUUCCGCAAUGGACGCAAGUCUGACGGAGCAACGCCGCGUGAGUGAAGAAGGUCUUCGGAUCGUAAAGCUCUGUUGUUAGAGAAGAACAGCGCAUAGAGUAACUGCUAUGCGUGUGACGGUAUCUAACCAGAAAGCCACGGCUAACUACGUG
rnacentral:rRNA from 1 species